UCACUGCUAAGUGGCAAUUUAUGUCUGCUUUUGUGUAAGUUCUCUUUAACUAACUUUCUUUAUUAUUUUUUCUUAUUCUUGUAUGUUAUACAAGUUGAUCAUGGUGCAUUGGAGAUCAUCUUGUAACAAUAGGGUUUUGUUCUUGGUAAAUAAAAUAUCCAAGUUUUGAUCCUUAAUACCUUCAUCAUUUUCUUCUUUGGCUCCCUCUGGUAUUGUUUGCUGCGCCUUCUAAGCCACAGCUGCUGUAGAAUGGAGUCUUUAAAUGUAAAAAAAAAAUAGUAAUGUACAUUUGACCGCUUGUACUGCAAAAUCUAAGCUGAAAGUGUUUGCCAAACACAUUGGCAGAGCAUUAGUUUCCUCUGUAUUAUUAUGACUUUUUUUUUUCCAAGGCCUGAUAUUUUCUCCAUCUAAUAAAUUUCCUAGGUACUUCCUAGUAUCAAAUGCUAUAGCAAGUUCAUAUGCAGCAUUAUCUUUGGCAUUUACCUUGGCAAUCACGAGAUUCCACAACAACGCAGCUUUGGGACUCAUCAUGUUAGAUUUAAUCACCAUGGGGCUGCUGUUCUCGGCCAAUGGAGCAGCCAUGGCUAUCGGAAUGAUCGGUCUUAAGGGGAACUCACAUGUUCACUGGAAU
rnacentral:lncRNA from 1 species